rnacentral:rRNA from 1 species
AACGAACGCUGGCGGCAUGCCUAACACAUGCAAGUCGAACGCCUGUAGCAAUACAGGAGUGGCGCACGGGUGAGUAACGCGUGGGAACCUGCCCUGGAGUGAGGGAUAACCGAGGGAAACCUCGGCUAAUACCGCAUACGCCCCUUGGUCGUGGAGAUCUCGGGGGAAAGAUUUAUCGCUCUAGGAGGGGCCCGCGUCGGAUUAGCUAGUUGGUGAGGUAACGGCUCACCAAGGCGAUGAUCCGUAGCUGGUCUGAGAGGAUGAUCAGCCACACUGGGACUGAGACACGGCCCAGACUCCUACGGGAGGCAGCAGUGGGGAAUAUUGGACAAUGGGGGCAACCCUGAUCCAGCAAUGCCGCGUGAGUGAUGAAGGCCUUAGGGUUGUAAAGCUCUUUCGGCGGGGACGAUGAUGACGGUACCCGCAGAAGAAGCCCCGGCUAACUUCGUGCCAGCAGCCGCGGUAAUACGAAGGGGGCGAGCGUUGUUCGGAAUUACUGGGCGUAAAGGGCGCGCAGGCGGCACUUGAAGUCAGGCGUGAAAGCCCCGGGCUCAACCUGGGAGGUGCGCUUGAUACUCGAG